GUGUGUGUGUGUGUGUAGGAUUGCAGCAAAGCAAUAAAUGGGUUGCAUACAGGGCCAGUUUGGUGCAACGGUUAAGCCACCUGGCUAGAAACCAGGACAUUGUGAAUUCUAGUCCCACCUUAGCAAGGCUGAUUGGUAAUUGGAUUGAAUUUUAUGGCAGAACUCAGCUGAGCCGAAGAGAAGAUGCCUUUUUAUCUUCGGAAGCAGCACUUGGACAUUCCUGCACCCACCGAAAAAGACUGGAUUAAAAAAGACGAAGAGGAAAAUUUCUUCCAGAAUGACCCCGACGAACUCCUAGACUCGUUGCCUCAGCCUUUCUGCAUGAUCAAUAAAAUAUUGAAAGACUUGUUUGAAAGAGCCUGGGAACGAAUUGAAGAAAGGCGCCCGUUACAGGAGACGAAGCAGCAAAGUUUCACACCCUUACUCUGUCACCCUACAAAUAAAUUCAUGGUAUCAGGGAGGGUAAACUGCCUGUCAGCUUCUGAAGGGUACAUCUUUAUGGGGCACUCCACUGGGAUUUCUGUCUUCAGCUCAACCACCUGUGAAAACGUGUCUACUUGGGAGGCAACCAAACUUGAAAUUUGUUCCAUUCAGCUGUCAGUCCUUGGUGGUGUCUCCCAUCUCCUUGGAACGGUGGAUGAGAUGGGUUUUGCACGUCUUUUUUGUUUUGUCAGAGAAAACCUCUUGCAUAUAAGAUCCAUAAAUGAAGUGGAAGAUAUCAGCAAACGAAACGUCUGCGUGGCACUGGAGCUUUCUCAGGAGAGUGACUAUGCAGGAUUCCUGCUACAAGGCAGCUCUGAAUCUUGGCUGGAGAUUUACCGAUUGCCUAAGGAUUCCUGGCAGAAGGAGACGGAACAUCUCCAUACAAUUGCUCUCCCAGGUUCAGGAUUUGUCAAGGACACGGGGCUCAGCCAGCUGCCUGUGCAAGAGAAAUUACCAGAGAGAUCUAUGCACAAGAAUGUUGAUAUUCAAGUAACUGAAGAUAUGGAUUUGCAACAGCUACUAAGCAAAAUUGAAUCUAAGCUGCUUCCCCCUGUUCUACUGUUGAAGGUCAGACCACCCAAACCUCUUUCAGUAAGCGCAUUCAGGAGCCCGUUCGAGGCUAUAAUGAAGAGCGAUGAAGGCAACGUCAUUGGCCUGGGCUACAACACCUUGAUCAGAGAGUGCCAGAUGGAAUGUCUGCAAGAGAUUUUCAACAGCAAGUUCCAACAGUAUCUGGAGAUAGAGGAUGAUCUGGAGAGCAAAGAGGAAACACUUAGUUGUGCAAAAUUCCAUUUUCACUUACCUGGCCGCACCUUUCAAACUGGAACGGAAUUAAAAGCUGAGGCAGAUAUGCCUGUCGCCUUCAGUGUUCACUGGAGCAACAGUCACAAUCUUUGCUUCUAUUUCCUGAGUCGUCCACCCAAGGAAAAACCUGAUUCUGAUCCCAAGCCAGAUAUUCUUUGGCCAUGUGCUGCUCCGAUUGUAUAUUCAACUGUCAGCCCUUGUUCGUCUUACUUCGCCUUUGCCUGUGAAGAUAGGGUUAUUACUUUGUGGGACACAUCAGUUGGGUUUCCAUUCUCUGCCAUGGUGCUUCCCGAAAACUACGUUGCACGAAACAUUCAAUUCAUGCCACGUUUACUACCAUCCAGAGAGAAGACGUCUUGCUGUAGUAAGGAUCCUGCCCAUACCAUGGUGCAGCUUUUGGUGCUGUGCACAGAUGGGUCACUUCACCUGCUCACAUCGGGGACCAAAGAAUUUAGGUCCAAGUUAUUAGGAAUCAGGCCUGAGGUUCCUGAUCAGACCGUCAGUGGUGUGGCCACCAUUCCAACUUUGCCUGAUGCGGUGCUGAUUUUCUUCUGGAUUGGCGUCAUUAAUCUGAUGGAUACCACGACCGAUGAGAUCAUUUGCCAAUUCAUGGUGCCACCUUCCUACAAAGUUGCAUCCCCUUGGCAGCCCGUUUUUUCCAUGGAUACAAAUGGCAGGUGGUUGGCCGUCCAAGGGGAGUCUAAGGCUGGUAAAGCGGAAAUGGAAACCAUCUUUAUUUAUGACUUCAGCACAUAUUCUUUCAUGGAAACGUUUGCUGCAAAAGCUGAGAAUCUACCUGCUGCCUUUCCAGAAUUGCCCUGGGACAAACGUUGUGAUCUUUUCUUAAAUAACAAUUUGCAGAGGCUGUCCACAAUUAGCCAACAGAUGCCAGAAUGCUGGAGCCAGCUGCAGGAAUAUGCAGCCAGCUUGAAGAGGAAGAUGUUUGGUGAAGUGAAUGUGCAGCAAGAGUUCAGCUUUUUUCCUGGGACUAGCGAAGAAGUAUUACAUGUUGACCCGGAACCUGAAAUACCAUCAACCUAAGCAGCAACUUUGCCAUCUGAUUCCAUUUUUGGACACUUUUAAAUAGCAUCUGGUUUCUUGCAAGCCAUUAUUUCAUUUAAAAGGAAGGAACAAGGUCAGAAACCAAGUAUGGAAGAAUUAACAUGGGAAUGGAGCCUCCAGUUGCCUUUGGAGGCUCAAAGAGUAAUCUCUAUUAUAUACUUCAGAGUAUGAGAAGACAGCAGGGGAUAGGGACCAAAUGCCUUGGAGGUCUAUGAUGCUAAGAAACAUACAAGAAAUUUAUACCAAAAUACUUGUUUCUCCUCCUUUUGCAUCCGUUCAGACGGAUCUUAAGCCUGCAGAUAAAGCCUUCGUUUGGUUAUUAUUAUUAUUAUUAAUUUUAAAAGCAAGAUGGACCUGAACAAUAGAUGUCAUUACUACUCUUUUUUUUUUUACAAAUAAACAUAGCACUUACUUUGACAAUAUUGGAACUAUCUGGAAAUGAAAGACUCUGGUGUGAUCCAAUUCUAAUUUCAGUUUGGCUGGGUAGAGGUGCCACUUUUUCCCCAUCGACGGUGACAGAUUUUUCCCAAAACAAUAGAGAGCAUUCUUCAAUAUCCCUAAGAAUCAUCAUCCAUUAGGAGGAUCAGAUGUAACAGCAGAUCACGGAUUACACUGUUAUUUAUAUAAUUGGCCUUGCAUUGCUUCUUCCAUUGGUUAUUUCUGCACGUUUGGAAAAACAAGCAAAUCUAUGCCUAAUGAUGGAACAAGGAACCUACAACACCACUCCAUCUUCUGUCUAAAUUUUACCUGCCACAGAGAUAUAUGUAGAAAAAGGAGAGCUUUAACCGAUUUAAAAGGGGGAAGGAAGCUAAAAAAUAUUGUAUUUUAAAGUUCCAGGCCCCACCCUUUUAUUUGAGACAGAAUACAAAUGCCAUCUUCGCAGCUUUUAUGUUCCUUCCCGAGUUUCUUCAUUUAAGCCGGGCCUCACGAUAAUCUAAUUAGUUUUUGCCGUCUUUUGAAAAGCUGGGCCUUUUCCAUUUGGAUAAAUUGGGGCCUGAAACAGUUCCUUCAUAUUAUUAGGAAACAAAGGGCUUUAUUUAUUUCUUUCAUUGUCACCAGAGACGACAGCACAAGCUAAAAAUCAUUCUAAGUGAUGUUCCACCUCCCAAGAAGGUCAUCCGGCAGUUACAAAGCACCGGCAGAAAUGAUUGAUGAGAGAUUAACAAAGGGCGCUCCGGCAUACUUGCCAGUGACAAGAUCAGCGGGAUGGAAUUUUCGUGCUGAUUCAAAAAACACCUUCCUUGCUGUCUGGUGAGAAUGGCAUGUUUACAAAGGCUGCGUUUUCCUCUUUUUAAAAAACCGUAUAAUUUGGCUACAGAGAAGGUAGAAAUGUUUCAAAAGAAAAAUGGAACAAAGCAGGCCUUUUAUAUUUUGUUAAGGUCUAGCUUUGAAAUGACCCCCUGAGUAAGUAUGGAAAAUGAUACCAAAGGAAGAGCAGAGGGGAUUAUGGCUGUCAGACCAGCCUUGUCCCUCCAAUUACUUCCACCAUCAAGAAUAAAUAGGUCAUUGAAAAUGCUCGUGAUUAACAGUGUAUUUUUGUUUGGUAAAUGACAGCUCUUUCUGAAAGCUGUUCAGAUCAACAGCACUGUCUGAAACUUGCACAAUCUUUUUCUUAAGCUCUAUAAGUAUAGAGAAAAAGCAGCAUAGCCCAGAGUCGGAGUCAAGAGAGGAAUCAGAAUCUCUACAUUCCCACAAACAAGCCCAACCCCUCUUGAAUUCUGUUAGCCCUUAUCCUAAUAUCCUAAUGUUAGCCUAAUAGUGCCAACCAUUAGUUGACUAGAUUCCUGUACAUAGGCAUCAGCUUAAUUGGAACUUAAGGUGUGGCUCUCGUCUUUCGCGUCUGGCAUUAGGCUAGUUUUUAGCCUCUCGUGCUGCCUCAUUCAUGUCAUUGACUUAAUUCGCUUGCUAUUGCCGCAUUUGCCCACCUUAAAUAGAUUAUGGCUGUGCAUGUUCCACACCACAUCUUUUAGGAGACAUCUAGACGAAGCCACUGGAAAUGGUGUAUUGUUUGAAUAUUAACAAUACUGCAGUUCUCUGUCUUUGCACGUUAUGCCACAAAGGGCUUAUCUUGCUGUUCUGAUAAGCACUAUUCUACUUCAACACCUUUCCCCAAGCUGACUCAUUGCAAAUGUUCUUGGACUGGAAUUCCCAGGAUUCUCACCAAUCAUGGGCUUGCCUUUUCUGCCUCAGUGGCCACAUCGAUAGUAACGAGCCACACUGUCAAGAGUCCAAUCCCUCCAUACACAUUCCCAAGAUAAUUGGGUUUAUUUCCUUCAUCUUUAGCAUCAUUUUAUUUGUUGGAGGUAAAACGAAAACAGUUCCUGUGUUUUUCCCACCUUCUCAGCAUUUUCUAAUAGCAAUUUAAAUAUUAGAAGUCAUUUGUAGGUCACUAUUUCCCAAGGAGCAUUAUCUUACAUUGUACAUUGUUCUUUUCUGCACUAGUAAAAUCAUUUUGUUCUAGGCUUCUUGAAGUUGCGGGUUUUCUAAGAAUUGUUUUAAUUGAAAAUACUAAAAUAUUUAUUCCCUGUUCUUUCGGUCUGAAAGGUUUUCAGAUUAUGAAAAACAGGUUUCCUACCACGUAGAAUCUACAAAGACAGGUCACAAAAGAAAGAAGCACAGAGGAGUUUCUCCUAAAGCAAUGGUUCUCAAUCUGUGGGUCGGGACCCCAUUUGGGGUCGAACGACCAUUUCACGGGGGUCGCCAAACAACGCAGUCCGCCAUUUUUUCCCCCCUUUUCCUUAGCUGUGCUACU